rnacentral:misc_RNA from 1 species
AAGGAUCAUUAUUGAAUAAAUCUGGUAGGUUGUUGCUGGUUCCUUGGAGCAUGUGCACACCUACUGCUUUUAUAUUUCCACCUGUGCACUUUUUGUAGACUUGAAAAUGUCUCAAGGAAACUUGGUUUGAGGACUGUUGGCUUCACAUGAAGUCGACUUUCCUUGCAUUUCCGGUCUACGUUUUCAUAUACUCUUAUAAUGUUAUAGAAUGUCUAUUUACUGGCUUUAUGCCUUUAAACUUUAUACAACUUUCAACAACGGAUCUCUUGGCUCUC